rnacentral:rRNA from 1 species
CACGUAGGGUGCGAGCGUUGUCCGGAAUUAUUGGGCGUAAAGAGCUCGUAGGCGGUGUGUCGCGUCGGCCCGUGAAAACCUGCAGCUUAACUGUGGGCGUGCGGUCGAUACGGGCAUCACUGGAGUUCGGCAGGGGAGACUGGAAUUCCUGGUGUAGCGGUGAAAUGCGCAGAUAUCAGGAGGAACACCGGUGGCGAAGGCGGGUCUCUGGGCAAUAACUGACGCUGGAGGAGCGAAAGCGUGGGGAGCGAACAGG